rnacentral:lncRNA from 1 species
AUGAGCUGCCUUUGGACGAAGCUGAGUGUCUGCUGUGAGACCUUCCUAAUUUCCCCUGCAACCAGUGUGCAUGGUGGAAACAGGAAGCUAUCCCACACAGAACACCGCAUCAAUUAUGAUCAGAUUGGGGAAAUUCUCUUUGAUAAGCAUGUUCCGCCAACCUGUGCAUCUAGCUUUGAUGGCAAUCAGCAGGAGAGGGGACCGUGUUAUUCACUAGGCUGGCACUCUGCUCGAAGCCUCGGACCUCGUUUGUUUUCAGGGGCUCCGAGGGCUUCUCCCUGAGCCGCAGCCCUCUGGCUCCUCACGCGACAUGUAAAUCGUGGCUUCAGAAGGGAAAUGGCUGUUUGGCUGCACACGGGCAACGUACAUAUACUUUACAAAACUGAAUUCUGUCACUUAGACUGUGCUUUAGUUUUGCUUUGGAAAAGGAAUCCUGGUCAGAUGCUUUGUGAGUGAAGACAAAACAUGCUGAGAAGGGUGUGGAUAGAUGCCCAAUUAAAGAAGGAGGAAUCGGGCACUAAAUAGUAGGGGAGAGACUUUAUGAGUGGGCACGAGAGACCUGGGUUCGAAUCCUGGCCUCACUGUGAUCCCCAGUUCCCAGGCUUGCUGUGAGGGUCGAUGAAACCCUGGAUUGUGACCAGUAGAUCACCGGACGCUGUUUUCGGUCCUGUCGCUACAAUGUUCUUUGCAACUAAACACACCUCAACAUGGUAACCUCUGGCUUUUCUCUUUCCUACAUGAAACCAUUUGGUAAGGAACCUUUGCAAUGCAAACCCUUACUUUUUUCUUAAAUUCUAUGCGAUGAAGCAAACGUGGCUCGGUAUCUGUUGUCCAUGAUAGAGUAGGUUAUUGGAAUACAAUGAAAUGAAAGAGAGGUACGCUUAUCACCUCCCCACUGGACUCCCAAGGCUAGCAAUGCCUCUCAGGCACGUGGUUCCAUGGUCCAAGUACACAAGUCAAAACAUGUCCUCACCAUCGUAAGAGACACAUAGCACACACCCCACAGCAUCUUUGGACUCAUUCACUUUUGUGUACCGUGAACGCACUACACGUGAUUUCUACUUUACCUGAAUCUUAAUUUGCAAAAAUUGUUUCUGUGAUUACUGGUUUAAAUCAUGAAAUAAACAUCAAUAUUCCUGAAAAGCCCCUUUCGGA